rnacentral:lncRNA from 1 species
UAAUAUUAUAGAUUUCUUAGGCCUUCGGAGUGGUGGUCAUGAAAGAAAAUUUUUGGAUGAGGCUAAUGACAGUUUCUAUUUCCCUCGUGAGGAUGAGAGAUUCUCCAGACUCUAUUUGGAGUCCAUGAUGGAGGCUUGUGGGGACCUUGCUCUCAAAAGCUUUGUCGCUGCCCGUUGUGCUUCUCGCAAGCUUCGUUGUGAAAUAACUGGCGCUCCUUCAUCCAUUGAACUCGCUGCUGUGCAAGCACGUGUUUCUGAGCUUGAAGUUGAACUUGCUUUGGACAGAAGUCGCAAUGAUCAGCUGACUGCUAGGAAGGAGAAAUUCGCCAAGGAACUUGCCGAAGCUCUGGAAAGCCUCAAGGAGCUCAGAACCAAGCUUGAUCGUGC